rnacentral:rRNA from 1 species
CCUACGGGAAGCUGCAGUGGGGAAUAUUGGACAAUGGGGGCAACCCUGAUCCAGCCAUGCCGCGUGUGUGAAGAAGGCCCUCGGGUUGUAAAGCACUUUCAGUGAGGAAGAACGCCUGGUGGUUAAUACCCAUCAGGAAAGACAUCACUCACAGAAGAAGCACCGGCUAACUCCGUGCCAGCAGCCGCGGUAAUACGGAGGGUGCGAGCGUUAAUCGGAAUUACUGGGCGUAAAGCGCGCGUAGGUGGCUUGAUAAGCCGGUUGUGAAAGCCCCGGGCUCAACCUGGGAACGGCAUCCGGAACUGUCAAGCUAGAGUGCAGGAGAGGAAGGUAGAAUUCCCGGUGUAGCGGUGAAAUGCGUAGAGAUCGGGAGGAAUACCAGUGGCGAAGGCGGCCUUCUGGACUGACACUGACGCUGAGGUGCGAAAGCGUGGGUAGCAAACAGGAUUAGAUACCCUAGUAGUC